CCUCGCUCUGGACUGUACUGGCGCGGCCCUGCCGUAAAACCCCCAACUUCUGAAAAUUUGACCUCGGAUCAGGUAGGAAUACCCGCUGAACUUAAGCAUAUCAAUAAGCGGAGGA
rnacentral:rRNA from 1 species